rnacentral:rRNA from 1 species
UACGUAGGGGGCAAGCGUUGUCCGGAUUUAUUGGGCGUAAAGAGCGUGUAGGCGGCCAUGUAGGUCCGUUGUGAAAACUCGAGGCUCAACCUCGAGACGCCGAUGGAAACCAUGUGGCUAGAGUCCGGAAGAGGAGAGUGGAAUUCCUGGUGUAGCGGUGAAAUGCGCAGAUAUCAGGAAGAACACCCGUGGCUAAGGCGGCUCUCUAGUACGGUACUGACGCUCAGGAGCGAAAGCGUGGGUAGCGAACAGG